AGCGGCGAGCGAGCGGGAAAAGCUCAAAUUUGUAAUCUGGCGCCUUCGGCGUCCGAGUUGUAAUCUCGAGAAAUGUUUUCCGUGUUAGACCGCAUACAAGUCUCUUGGAACAGAGCGUCAUAGUGGUGAGAACCCAGUACACGAUGCGGAUGCCUAAUACUUUGUGAUACAUUUUCGAAGAGUCGAGUUGUUUGGGAAUGCAGCUCAAAUUGGGUGGUAAAUUCCAUCUAAAGCUAAAUAUUGGCGAGAGACCGAUAGCGAACAAGUACCGUGAGGGAAAGAUGAAAAGCACUUUGGAAAGAGAGUUAACAGUACGUGAAAUUGUUGGAAGGGAAACACAUGCAGUCAGACUUGCUAUUCGGGGCAACUCGAUUGGCAGGCCCGCAUCAGUUUUUCGGGGCGGAAAAGCAUAGAGAGAAGGUAGCAGUUUCGGCUGUGUUAUAGCUCUUUAUUGGAUUCGCCCUGGGGGACUGAGGAACGCAGCGUGCUUUUAGCAUGAGCUUCGGCUUAUCCACGCUUAGGAUGCGGGUGUAAUGGCUGUAUAUGAC
rnacentral:rRNA from 1 species